rnacentral:rRNA from 1 species
ACCUUACCAGGUCUUGUACAUCACCUAGCAAGCCAUGGNAAACAUGGCCCUCCUUCGGGACUGGGUGACAGGUGGUGCAUGGUUGUCGUCAGCUCGUGUCGUGAGAUGUUGGGUUAAGUCCCGCAACGAGCGCAACCCUUGCCUUUAGUUGCCAGCAUUAAGUUGGGGACUCUAAAGGGACUGCCGGCGACAAGUCGGAGGAAGGUGGGGAUGACGUCAAAUCAUCAUGCCCCUUAUGAUCUGGGCUACACACGUGCUACAAUGGGUGGUACAGAGGGAAGCGAAGCUGUGAGGCGGAGCGAAUCCCAGAAAGCCACUCUCAGUUCGGAUUGCAGGCUGCAACUCGCCUGCAUGAAGUCGGAAUCGCUAGUAAUCGCGGGUCAGCAUACCGCGGUGAAUACGUUCCCGGGCCUUGCACACACCGCCCGU